ACAAUUAUAGUAAUAUUAAUGAUGAUAAAACAAAAAAAAAGAAAAAAAACUAAAACUAAAUAUCCAAAGAAAAAUCAGAAACCCAAUUCCUUAUCCCCAUUUCCCUUCUCGUCACUUUUUUUUUCUACCACCUUCUCAUUCCUUCUUCUUCCUUCUUAAACCGACACCCUUCCCACUUUCCUUUUCCUUUUCCUUUCUUCUUCUUCUUCGAGCGACAGCAGCACCAGCACCGCCUUCACCAUCUUCUUCUUCCUUCUUCUUGUAAUUGUUGGUGUAAACAAACUAAGGAGACGACGUCAUCGAGGAACCUUUCUAGUGAUCGCGGAGAAACGGAUUUUGCUUCUUGAAGCGUUCUUUUUGGUCGGAUCCGGUCGGGAAUAAUCGGGUUAGCAAUGUUGAUGAGAGUGCUAAGGAUGUCCUUUUGAGCUGAGGCCGUGGAAGCUUAUAGUUUGUAUUAGGAAUUUGUUUAAUGUAUAAUAGUUCUGAUUAGUUUUGAUUAUGUUGAUUAUAAUGGACUCGUAGUGAGUUGUAUGGUUACUUUAUGUUUAGAUUAGAUAUUUGAUUUGAGAUUUAGCUGUGUUGGUUUCGUUA